CCGACCAUAGCUCAGUUGGAAGAGCACAAGACUGUAAUCGGAAAGAAUGCAUAUCUCUAUCUUGGGGUCGCCUGUUCGAACCAGGCUGGUCGGA
rfam:Gymnopus luxurians FD-317 M1 unplaced genomic scaffold GYMLTscaffold_44, whole genome shotgun sequence.